UGAGGAAUAUUGGUCAAUGGGCGAGAGCCUGAACCAGCCAAGUAGCGUGCAGGAAGACGGCCCUAUGGGUUGUAAACUGCUUUUAUGCGGGGAUAAAGUGAGGGACGUGUCCUUCAUUGCAGGUACCGCAUGAAUAAGGACCGGCUAAUUCCGUGCCAGCAGCCGCGGUAAUACGGAAGGUCCGGGCGUUAUCCGGAUUUAUUGGGUUUAAAGGGAGCGUAGGCCGUGGAUUAAGCGUGUUGUGAAAUGCAGGUGCUCAACGUCUGCACUGCAGCGCGAACUGGUUCACUUGAGUGUGCACAACGCAGGCGGAAUUCGCCGUGUAGCGGUGAAAUGCUUAGAUAUGACGAAGAACUCCGAUUGCGAAGGCAGCUUGCGGGAGCACAACUGACGCUGAAGCUCGAAAGUGCGGGUAUCGAACAGGAUUAGAUACCCUGGUAGUCCGCACGGUAAACGAUGGAUGCCCGUUGUCAGGCUGUUUCAGUCUGGUGACCAAGCGAAAGCAUUAAGCAUCCCACCUGGGGAGUACGCCGGCAACGGUG
rnacentral:rRNA from 1 species